rnacentral:sRNA from 1 species
UCGCCGAAAGGCGAGGCCCCGGAUAGGAUA